rnacentral:rRNA from 1 species
AUACGGAGGGUGCAAGCGUUAAUCGGAAUUACUGGGCGUAAAGCGUGCGUAGGUGGUUUGUUAAGUCAGAUGUGAACGCCCCGGGCUCAACCUGGGAACUGCAUUUGAAACUGGCAUACUAGAGUAUAGGAGAGGAAAGUGGAAUUUCAGGUGUAGCGGUGAAAUGCGUAGAUAUCUGAAGGAACAUCAAUGGCGAAGGCAGCUUUCUGGACUAAUACUGACACUGAGGUACGGAAGCGUGGGUAGCAAACAGGAUUAGAAACCCCAGUAGUCC